rnacentral:rRNA from 1 species
AAAUUGAAGAGUUUGAUCAUGGCUCAGAUUGAACGCUGGCGGCAGGCCUAACACAUGCAAGUCGAACGGUAACAGGAAGCAGCUUGCUGCUUUGCUGACGAGUGGCGGACGGGUGAGUAAUGUCUGGGAAACUGCCUGAUGGAGGGGGAUAACUACUGGAAACGGUGGCUAAUACCGCAUAAUGUCGCAAGACCAAAGAGGGGGACCUUCGGGCCUCUUGCCAUCAGAUGUGCCCAGAUGGGAUUAGCUGGUUGGUGAGGUAACGGCUCACCAAGGCGACGAUCCCUAGCUGGUCUGAGAGGAUGACCAGCCACACUGGAACUGAGACACGG